CGAUGGUAGGAUUCUGCUGUGUGAAUUUUCUCUCCUGGACCCAAAAAAGGUUUGGAGAAGCCGUAAUAUAGAAAAAUAGUGUCACCUUGCUCUGGAUGACGGUGAGAGGCACACUGGUGGAGGGCCACUUGUUCCUGGGAGCGUGUGGAUAAGUGACAUCGACAAACGACAAAGCGGCCAGGCACCCACCUGCGCACAGAACUUGGACUUGGCCACAGCGAUGAUGAGCUUCAGCACGGGAGACGGGUGCGGCUGCAGCGGACUCACCGUAUGGAUCACGCCGGUGAACUGCGGUGGGGGGCUCUUCCCUAUACGCGUAUAAAUGAUUGAACAGAUAAUUUUAUCCAUUGAAAGAAAAAAAAUGUGCAUCUGCAAAUUGGUUUGACUGAUGUCUAUAUUUGAAUUUUUACAAUGCAUAAACAUUUUUUUUAGAAUAGACAUUCAAUAAAAAAUUUUAAUGACACUAUUUUAGGGGGAAACAAUGGAAAUUAAAUGCAACAGAUUUUACAUGAUUCUUAAUAAAUGCUUAGUGGGGUGGA